rnacentral:lncRNA from 1 species
ACGGAGAUUUAGAUUUGUCAGACGCCCUUCUUGAGGAUGACAAGAAACCGACUCCUCCAACCCCCAAAAAACCCGGUGCUGACGAUGACUUCAAUUUGGAAGAUGCCCUUGGGGGUGGAGGAAGCAAUGACCCUGCGCCACCCGCCCCACCCAAGCCACGACCUCCUCCAAACCCCAACCAGCCUGGAUCUUCUGGUGGAUUUUCAGAUUCCGACCUCGUUGAUGGGGAUUCAGGUGGAGCAGGUGGUGGAGGUGGCGGUGGCCAUGGAGGCCAGGGUCACGGCAGCGGGGAGCAAGCCGAGCAAGGGGACGUCAACAUGGAAAACCAUCACAGCACCAACGCCGAGCCAGCCGUUCAGCGGACUCUUCUGGAGAAAUAGAAGCUGGGCGGGAAGAGCAGCUCUGACAUCCGCAGCGGCGUUCCCAGCCUUGCCUGCUGCCCCUGUCGGAAGACGGCCCUCGGGAGGGGAGGACAGAGCCGCCCCCGGGAGCCGGCCUGUCCCAUUCACACCUGCGCUCCAGUCGGAUGCUCUGUUUUAAUUUUGACAUGUGUGCACCCGUCUCCCUGCCGGGUAGAUGAUGUGGACUGACAAUGAGUUUUGCAUCCAGAGGGGACCUGCAUUUGCCUUCUCCAUGGCCCUUAGGGGUUUCCGGUGUCAUGUGCAAAGCCGGCCACCACAAAGUCAUUCGAAUAUCGACCCCACUGAAGUUCCCCUGAGGGGAAACUCUGGGCCGUUUGCAAAGUGCAUUGAACCCGCCUGAGACCUCCCUAACAUUGACCGUUUUAUAGAGUGAGGUAAGCCUUCUGUUAGUUUCCUCCAAAUUUCUUUCAUUGGUUAGGACUUUUUUUUUUUUUUUU